rnacentral:lncRNA from 1 species
UUACAUAUGAGGAUAUUAAGAUGGUUAAAUAAAAAUAUGAUGAAGCGACGAAGUUGCUGUCCUUUCUCCAACUUUGUGAUGAAUUCAAAAAGAAUUAUAUUGAUUUCAUCCACAAAUUUAUGAAACGAUGAAGUUGUUGUCCUAUCUCCAACUUUGUGAUGAAUUCAAAAAGAAUGUCUUCCAAAUUCAUGCUUUGUUCUUUGUUCUUUGGGUAACCUGUUUUUGUUUUGCAAUUCUCAUUGGGGGCCUCCUUAUGUUUGCAUAUUUGACCACCCUGCCGUCCCAGCUUCUGCCCCUUUGGCGACACUUUUUACUUGUUUUAUUGUGCGUUGGUGACAAAUCCCU